rnacentral:rRNA from 1 species
UACGUAGGGUGCGAGCGUUGUCCGGAAUUAUUGGGCGUAAAGAGCUCGUAGGCGGCUUGUCGCGUCGGAUGUGAAAGCCCGGGGCUCAACCCCGGGUCUGCAUUCGAUACGGGCAGGCUGGAGUUCGGUAGGGGAGAUCGGAAUUCCUGGUGUAGCGGUGAAAUGCGCAGAUAUCAGGAGGAACACCGGUGGCGAAGGCGACUUUCUGGUCUGUAACUGACACUGAGGCGCGAAAGCGUGGGGAGCGAACAGG